rnacentral:rRNA from 1 species
GAUGAACGCUAGCGGGAGGCCUAACACAUGCAAGCCGAGCGGUAUUGUUUCUUCGGAAAUGAGAGAGCGGCGUACGGGUGCGGAACACGUGUGCAACCUGCCUUUAUCUGGGGGAUAGCCUUUCGAAAGGAAGAUUAAUACUCCAUAAUAUAUUGAUUGGCAUCAAUUAAUAUUGAAAGCUCCGGCGGAUAGAGAUGGGCACGCGCAAGAUUAGCUAGGCGGUGAGGUAACGGCUCACCAAGGCGAUGAUCUUUAGGGGGCCUGAGAGGGUGAUCCCCCACACUGGUACUGAGACACGGACCAGACUCCUACGGGAGGCAGCAGUGAGGAAUAUUGGUCAAUGGGUGCAAGCCUGAACCAGCCAUCCCGCGUGAAGGACGACUGCCCUAUGGGUUGUAAACUUCUUUUGUAUAGGGAUAAACCUACCCUCGUGAGGGUAGCUGAAGGUACUAUACGAAUAAGCACCGGCUAACUCCGUGCCAGCAGCCGCCGUAAGAC